rnacentral:rRNA from 1 species
CCUUGAAAUACCACCCUUUAAUGUUUGAUGUUCUAACGUUGGCCCCUGAUCGGGGUUGCGGACAGUGUCUGGUGGGUAGUUUGACUGGGGCGGUCUCCUCCUAAAGAGUAACGGAGGAGCACGAAGGUUGGCUAAUCCUGGUCGGACAUCAGGAGGUUAGUGCAAUGGCAUAAGCCAGCUUGACUGCGAGCGUGACGGCGCGAGCAGGUGCGAAAGCAGGUCAUAGUGAUCCGGUGGUUCUGAAUGGAAGGGCCAUCGCUCAACGGAUAAAAGGUACUCCGGGGAUAACAGGCUGAUACCGCCCAAGAGUUCAUAUCGACGGCGGUGUUUGGCACCUCGAUGUCGGCUCAUCACAUCCUGGGGCUGAAGUAGGUCCCAAGGGUAUGGCUGUUCGCCAUUUAAAGUGGUACGCGAGCUGGGUUUAGAACGUCGUGAGACAGUUCGGUCCCUAUCUGCCGUGGGCGCUGGAGAACUGAGGGGGGCUGCUCCUAGUACGAGAGGACCGGAGUGGACGCAUCACUGGUGUUCGGGUUGUCAUGCCAAUGGCACUGCCCGGUAGCUAAAUGCGGAAGAGAUAAGUGCUGAAAGCAUCUAAGCACGAAACUUGCCCCGAGAUGAGUUCUCCCUGAGACUUUAAGUCUCCUGAA